GUUGGUGUUGAUGACGCUGAGGGUCCACCUGUUCCCAUACCGAACACAGAAGUUAAGCUCAGUGGUGCCGAUGAUACUUGGCUGGCGACGGCCCGGGAAAAUAGGGAGAUGCCAACA
rnacentral:rRNA from 2 species